rnacentral:rRNA from 1 species
GAUGAACGCUGGCGGCGUGCCUAACACAUGCAAGUCGAGCGGAGAUGAAGAAGUUUACUUUGGAUUCUUAGCGGCGGACGGGUGAGUAACGCGUGGGCAACCUACCCUGUACAGGGGGAUAACAAUGGGAAACCAUUGCUAAUACCCCAUGACGCCUUUUGGGGGCAUCCCUAAAAGGUCAAAGAACUUCGGUACAGGAUUGGGCCCGCGUCUGAUUAGCUAGUUGGUGAGGUAAUGGCUCACCAAGGCGACGAUCAGUAGCCGGCCUGAGAGGGUGAACGGCCACACUGGAACUGAGACACGGUCCAGACUCCUACGGGAGGCAGCAGUGGGGAAUAUUGCACAAUGGGGGAAACCCUGAUGCAGCAACGCCGCGUGACCGAUGAAGGCCUUCGGGUCGUAAAGCUCUGUCCUAAGGGAAGAUAAUGACGGUACCUUAGGAGGAAGCCCCGGCUAACUACGUGCCAGCAGCCGCGGUAAUACGUAGGGGGCAAGCGUUAUCCGGAAUCAUUGGGCGUAAAGGGUGCGUAGGCUGCCCUAUAGGUCAGAGGUCAAAGGCUACGGCUUCAACCGUAGUAAGCCUUUGAAACUGUAGGGCUUGAGUGCAGGAGAGGAGAGUGGAAUUCCUAGUGUAGCGGUGAAAUGCGUAGAUAUUAGGAGGAACACCAGUGGCGAAGGCGACUCUCUGGACUGCAACUGACGCUAGCACGAAAGCGUGGGUAGCGAAC